UGGAACUGUAACCAUAACUAACAUUUGCUUAUUUUAUUUCACAGUUCUCAGUAAUGCUUCAGUGCGUGGUACUCAAAACAUGGGCUAACACAAAUGGGAUUGUUGCACAGCUCUCAUGUACUCUGCCCUGUAACGUUUCUAGGAGAAUGUGGAACUGGUAUACCAGUAUCCUUCCUCACAUAAGGCGGUGCGAGUGCUGGAUUGGCAGACCUUGCAGUGCCGCCUGGUCCUGCUGCCCUGGGAAGCUGUCUGAGGGACUUCGGAGGGGAAAUGCCUAGCUGGCAGACGCAGUGGAGUGUCCAAUGCAGGGCGGCCUGCUUUGGAUGGACACCGAGGUGUACUCUUCCAGCAGUCCUCUCAUCAGGUUCAUCCUGAAUUGCAGGGAUGUGAUGACUUUUCCUAUUGAUAGCAGAGCACAUGGGUAGGAAGUGAGGAGGAGUGUGGAAUAUGACAGCGUGGUCAUUAUUGUUUUUUGUUAAUAUUAGUUAAUUUAAGUUUAAAUGCAUUGAGUUUACAUGAAAAACAAAAAAUAUUAAAAUGAUUAAAAUAAACUAUUUAUUUGUUUAUUUAUAUGUAAAUUAUAUGUUGUUUUUAAUCUGAUGUGCACAUUUCUCACCCGUAAGUUGGUGGUGGACAAUGUGGCUGUUCAGUACUGCAGUGUCAAGGAGCACACAGAGAGUCUUCAUCUUUCUUUCUUUGGUGAUGUGAUCAACCUUUCCGGUGGCUGAUAUGGUGGAUGGAUGGACCGUGGUAAGAAGCUCCUGCGUCCAGAGGCAGGAGGUGCUGGAACAGUGUGGGACUACUGUACCAGUUGUCCACGAACAGGAUGUGACCCUUUUUCAAGUAUGGGGCCAGUAAUGUCAUGACAACGGACCCAGAGAUUCCAAGGCCUUCAUAGUGCUGGAUGUCAGUGGUGGAUCCUGUAUAUAUGAUAAUGUUCUGCACGUAACCGGGGGUCGUUGAUGUUUGCCAUCGCAUUGUUUGAGAAGUGUAGGCAGCGGAGGAGCAGAAGGAAGCAGUCCUGGGAAAACAAAGUCCCGAAAAAUGGUGUCAGGAGCAUGGGAUCUGUACUCCAAUAAUCACGAAGUGGUGUUUUCUCCUGCAGCUCUAAGGCAUAGCGGUUUGUUUCCUCAACAAUUUCCUCAGUAAGGAACAUCUUAAAACACUGGACUUCAUUGGGUGAUUCUGGAGGGUUUUGCUCGCCGCAAGUCCGGUCAUCAAAGGCAACCCCAGGUCCAGGAGGGGUAAAAUUACUGGUAGAACUCCAGCAGGAAGAGCUUACCUCCUCCACCUCCCUUGGUGUUGUGUGUACAGCAGUUGCUGAAGCAUCUUCAUCCUCAGCAUCAAGGGCUUGGAGGUUGGGGGGCAUCUCCUCAUCUGUGUCACUUCCCUCAUUGUCAAAAUUUCCCUCUUCCUCAUCAGAAUUAAAAAAUAUUUCUCUGAUCUCCUCACCUGUAAUUGCAAUGGUCUAAAUAAAACUGUAAAUAUAUCAAAUUAACUCAAUUUAACUGUGUGUGUGUAAAGUAUAUGAUGAGCUCCGAUACGAGUCUGAGGUAAAAGUGAUGUGCCUGUGAUGUCACUUGUCACUGGGGGGAAGGGAAGACUAGUGAUAGGCUAUGGUCAUAGCCAUUAUGUUUUUUUUUUUUUUUUUUUAAAUUGCCUGUCUGAAAAAAAAUUAUAUAUAUUUACACAGAUUCACAAUUAAAAGUAAUUAACAACAUAUGUUUCAUGUGAAUAAAGCAUUGCAUUUGAAAUGUGAUUGUUUUUCUCGCUGUUGGAAAAUUGUAUUCCAAUACUUCUGUUUAUUUGAAUACAAUCGAGCAGCUGUUUUAGACAUAAAUGACAAGCAUUCCAUCAGUCACUCUUUCUAUAGCAAUAGCAGCUAUACAGCAACGCGAAAGCAGAUUUGGUGAGUUUAUCGUCUACUGUGCUGCUGUUAUACGCGUGUGUGGAUAUGGACAGUAAACUUAUAUGGUAAGUAUUCUGUU